AACGUCCUCAGACGCCAAGGUUUUUAUAGCAACGGCGCCUCUCCGGGUUCCCCUCUUUCCAGCCUUCCUCCCCAGCUCCCAAAUCCCCCGUCCCCACGGCCCGUAAAAGGGCUCGUUAGACCUCUCCGUCUCCCCUCCUGAAGAGUAGCCCAAGAUUUCGACACAUCUGCUAGGGGAAUGUCAUCCACUUUUGCCAGGAAUGAGGAGAAAAAGGGCAGCCGGCCAUCCCAACCCACAACCCCUGCAACCUCACUGGGCUGCAAUCUGAAGGUUUCUCGCUCUGAGGAAUUCCUGACACGGAUCAGCACGGAACUCACUGACGAGGCCUUGUUUGUUGCUGCCUGCCACAUGAAUCCUGUGCCUAUCAAGGAAAAACAGACACAAGACCAAGGGACUCAGAUAUCCAAACAUGUGUUCUUCACCAAGACCCGAGGCACUGAUACCCGGUGAGUGAGGCUUCGCAGGAGAUGCCCUUUGUCCUGGGAGAAAGAUGAGGAGCCUGUAGGGGAGAGAGCCAGGGUUUGACAACAUCCCAGCAGGCUCUGACAGAAACCGUACCCACACGAAGGCACAUCUCCUGCCAUCCCCUCGUGAGAAGGGAGCUCUGCCCAGCAACUUGACGGCUGGAGGAUGAUCCCAACUUUGGUGCUGCUCUUGGCCUCUCGUGCCCUCCCCCCACUCUGUCUCUCUGCAACAUGUCAAAGCUCCUCUUUCACCGCUCAUUCAACAGUUCGGUUCUGGGGGCGUUCCUGGUCGUGAGCAACAUCACCCCUGAAGCCUCCAAAGUGUUCCAGAGCCAUCAGACACCUUGCCACCCUCAACUGGCCAGGACACCACCAGCAAUGAAAAGCUUUAAUAAAGAAACAGAGAUCCUUCCCUCCUCUCAACCUA